CAGAGGCUGUCAGGAGACUUUCCUGGAGGAUGGGGGGAGGAAGGGGCGUGGCAUUCAGCGAGGGACACUUUGGGCUCUACUUUCUGCACUUGGUUCCCCUGGGGCCAAAGGGCUGCCGCGUCCUUCCCGUUCCAUCCUACACAUCUCCAUCUUCAGGGAGGAUGGAGAGUUUCCAGGAGGAGGUGGAGGAGGAGCCUACAUUUGUUUUCCUCUCCCUAUUCCUAGGGCCUACAUCACCACUCUUCAGGCUGUGCUUUCUCAGGGAGGCCUGCCUGGAUCCUGGCUGUCCCUAAGGAAGGCUUGGCAAUACCCUUCCCCAGCCUGCCUCUUCNNNNNNNNNNNNNNNNNNNNNNNNNNNNNNNNNNNNNCUGCUGAGGGAGGAGUUGAGGCAGUUGAGGCCAGAGACAGCAGACCUCUGACCUCUUCCAUCAAGGGCAGGAGCACCAGCGGGUGCUCAGCAGAGUGUGCACUGAGGGCCAGUGGAAAGAUCCAGUCACCCAUCAACAUCCUUCAAGAAUGUCACCAACUGAGGGACUUUGGAUCCUGAAUAGUUGAUCACUGACAAUGUUGACUAUUAUCUGAGCCCUGGGUUCUCCUGGAAAACAGCGCAGGCAGAGAAAUCCCUUUUGUGUCCUAGAAAGCAGCUUAUAACAAAAAACAAACAAACAAACCUUCCCCAAACAAUCGGGAUAACAAUCAAGGCUGUAUCUCUGCUUACCUAUGACAAGGCUAGAUAGACACUGGGCCACAAAUUCUCAUUCUUGGCCUCAUCAAUGAUUAGUUGAACUGUUUCCUCCUCAGUGAUCAAUUGUACAAAAUGCUUAUUAACCAAACCAUGAUGAAGCUUUCUUCCUUCCUCCAGGCCUCCAAACUUUGGCCCAUCUCGGCCUGAGCCAGCACACGGCCCCUCCUGAGAACUGAAUUCAACACUAACGUCUGAAUUUCAUAAAAUUUUCACGUGCCACAAAAUAUUGUUCUUCUCUUAGUUUUUUUCCCAACCAUUUAAAAGAAUGUAAAACUCUUUUUUAGCUUAGGACUGAACAAAAGCAGGCAGCAGGCUAGACUUGACCCGUGAACUAUCACUUGCCAACCCCUGCUCUAGAUAUUCUAGUGGAAAAGUUUAUUGUGGGGAGGAAGAAGGUCUCCCUGCUGAAGUUUUAGGAUCUGUGUGAUCAGGAAAGCAAAGUAAGUUUACCAUUUCUGAGGUUUGCUUGGGGGCAAGAUAUUCAAUUUCUUUUGAAAUUUCAAAUAACAUUUUUAAAGGGCUUGAGAUUUUUCUUUGCUUUCAAAAAGAGCAUGGGUUCCCUAUAGGUUAAGAAAUGCUCCUCACCAUAGUCACCUCACACCCAUUAGGAUGGGCAAUAUCAAAAAAAAAAAAAAAAAAAGAGUUCCCGUUACGGUGCAGUGAAAAGGAAUCCAACUAGUAUCCAUGAGGUUUCGGGUUCGAUCCCUGGUCUUGCUCAUUGGGUUAAGGAUCCAGUUUUGCUGUGAGUUGUGGUGUAGGUCACAGACUCAGCUCAGAUCCCACAUUGCUGUGGCUGUGGUACAAGCCUACAGCUGCAGCUCCGAUUCAACCCCUAGCCUAGGAACCUCCAUGCACAGCAGG
ensembl:lncRNA